rnacentral:misc_RNA from 1 species
GGAAAACAAAAAAAAUUUAUGAAAUUUUAUUGGGGUAAUUUAUAAAGAAGGCAUAGGGCCAAUGAGACCAAUUACCUCACUGUCCCACUCUUAAAAUUAUUGUUUCUGUCCAUAUAUACAAUCAAAACUUCAUACGACCAGACUACAAUUAUUUCAGCGUGGGGCUCGCGAGCUACAGAGAUUCCCUGACUUGCGCAGCUUUACACAGACAAGCCCCGCCAUGCAGAGCCUUGCAUAUUUUUUUCUUCAGAAAUUGUAAAGAGUCAAAGAAGGCUAAGAAAUAAAAGGGCAAAACAUAAGGCGUAAUCUCAUAGUAUUUAAUACGUAUAUACAUAGAGAUUCACCUAUUUAAUGUGAAUAUCACGUAUUUAUAUCAACCGCAAAUACCUCAAGCUCAUCACAAUCACCCUCAUCUUCUCUACUUGGCCGCAAAAUUAAAAAUUUUCAAUACUAAAAUGAAGAAAGCUCAGCUUGUGUUCAUCCCCUGGCCCGACAUUGGCCACCUUGUCUCAGAGGUGGAGGCAGCAAAGCUUCUUCUUACCCACCAUCAACAGCUCUCCAUCACAGUACUUAUCCUCAACCAUUCUUCUGUCAACCCCAAAGUUCAUAACUACAUCGAAUCGCAGCAAGCUUCCUUGUCUACUAUAUCCAAUCGUCUCCGAAUCAUUGAUCUACCCAAAGGCGAGACUGACUUUUCUUUCGUUGAGAGACAGAAACCCCAUGUCAAAGAAGCUGUGUUGAGGAUUACUGAGUCUGAGUCAAACAUCGAAUCGCCCCAGUUGGCGGGUUUUGUUGUCGAUAUGUUAUGCACGCCCAUAAUAGAUGUGGCCAAUGAAUUUGGCGUUCCAUCUUACAUUUUCUUUCCUUCAAGUGCAGCUUCUCUUGGUUUAUUGCAUUAUGUUCAGAAGAUUCAUGAUGAAGAGAAA